rnacentral:rRNA from 1 species
AACGAACGCUGGCGGCAUGCCUAACACAUGCAAGUCGAACGAGACCUUCGGGUCUAGUGGCGCACGGGUGCGUAACGCGUGGGAACCUGCCCUUAGGUUCGGAAUACCUCCCCGAAGGGGUUCCUAAUCCCGGUUAAUUUCUUCGACCAAAAGAUUUAUCGCCUUUGGAUGGGCCCGCGUUGGAUUAGCUAGUUGGUAGGGUAAAAGCCUACCAAGGCGACGAUCCAUAGCUGGUCUGAGAGGAUGAUCAGCCACACUGGGACUGAGACACGGCCCAGACUCCUACGGGAGGCAGCAGUGGGGAAUAUUGGACAAUGGGCGAAAGCCUGAUCCAGCAAUGCCGCGUGAGUGAUGAAGGCCUUAGGGUUGUAAAGCUCUUUUACCCGGGAUGAUAAUGACAGUACCGGGAGAAUAAGCUCCGGCUAACUCCGUG